GAUGAACGCUAGCUACAGGCUUAACACAUGCAAGUCGAGGGGAAACGACAUCGAAAGCUUGCUUUUGAUGGGCGUCGACCGGCGCACGGGUGAGUAACGCGUAUCCAACCUGCCCACCACUUGGGGAUAACCUUGCGAAAGUAAGACUAAUACCCAAUGACGUCUCUAGAAGACAUCUGAAAGGGAUUAAAGAUUUAUCGGUGAUGGAUGGGGAUGCGUCUGAUUAGCUUGUUGGCGGGGUAACGGCCCACCAAGGCGACGAUCAGUAGGGGUUCUGAGAGGAAGGUCCCCCACAUUGGAACUGAGACACGGUCCAAACUCCUACGGGAGGCAGCAGUGAGGAAUAUUGGUCAAUGGGCGAGAGCCUGAACCAGCCAAGUAGCGUGCAGGAUGACGGCCCUAUGGGUUGUAAACUGCUUUUAUAAGGGAAUAAAGUGAGUCUCGUGAGACUUUUUGCAUGUACCUUAUGAAUAAGGACCGGCUAAUUCCGUG
rnacentral:rRNA from 1 species